rnacentral:rRNA from 1 species
GGACGAUAAUGACGGUACUUUAGGAGGAAGCUCCGGCUAACUACGUGCCAGCAGCCGCGGUAAUACGUAGGGAGCGAGCGUUGUCCGGAAUUACUGGGUGUAAAGGGAGCGUAGGCGGGAUUGCAAGUCAGAUGUGAAAUGCAGGGGCUCAACCCCUGAGCUGCAUUUGAAACUGUAGUUCUUGAGUGAAGUAGAGGUAAGCGGAAUUCCUGGUGUAGCGGUGAAAUGCGUAGAUAUCAGGAGGAACACCGGUGGCGAAGGCGGCUUACUGGGCUUUUACUGACGCUGAGGCUCGAAAGCGUGGGAAGCAAACAGGAUUAGAUACCCUGGUAGUCCACGCUGUAAACGAUGAUUACUAGGUGUGGGGGGACUGACCCCUUCCGUGCCGCAGUUAACACAAUAAGUAAUCCACCUGGGGAGUACGGCCGCAAGGUUGAAACUCAAAGGAAUUGACGGGGGCCCGCACAAGCAGUGGAGUAUGUGGUUUAAUUCGAAGCAACGCGAAGAACCUUACCAGGUCUUGACGUCGUAUGCAUAACUUAGAGAUAAGUGAAAUCCCUUCGGGGACAUAUAGACAGGUGGUGCAUGGUUGUCGUCAGCUCGUGUCGUGAGAUGUUGGGUUAAGUCCCGCAACGAGCGCAACCCUUACCUUUAGUUGCUACGCAAGAGCACUCUAAAGGGACUGCCGUUGACAAAACGGAGGAAGGUGGGGAUGACGUCAAAUCAUCAUGCCCCUUAUGACCUGUGCUACACACGUACUACAAUGGCAAUCAACAAAGAGAAGCAAGACAGUGAUGUGGAGCGAAUCUCAAAAAAUUGUCCAGUUCAGAUUGC